rnacentral:rRNA from 1 species
CUGGACGGCCAUAGCAGUCCGGAAACACCUGAUCCCAUUCCGAACUCAGAAGUUAAGCGGGCUGUGUUCGUGCCGGUACUGUCAUACGAUGGGAAAGCACGAAGCUGUCUACU